CUACCUCCGCGCUGAGGCCGCUGAGUUUCAAGUGCAAAACACCAGGCCAAAUCCGGCAAGGCGGCGGCUACAGAAUGGCUCACACUUCAAGCCUCCUUCCUCAAACAAUCCGAUGGGAAGGACCUGGCUGUUCAGGGGAAGCCUUUGCUGGCCUCUCUUUUUACAUGGGGUGAAGUCGAACCCCAAUCUAGGAGCCCUGGCCUAGAUGGCUCCGCAGAUGAGUCCCAGACGUGGCCAUGGAAAGACUGAUCUCUCUCUGCUCAGAGCGCCUGCCUCGGUGCUCACUAGCGCAAGCACCUCCCAACACACAUACAUACAUACACACACACACACAACACAGCACUCCCAUCACAUUAAAACGCGCGCUCAUGAUCCUGCCGUUAAUGAAGCCGAGGCGCAUAAUGAGUGCACAGGUAAAUAGGUACCGAAACCAGAAGACUUCACCAGUCGGCUGGGCGAUUUACCUCUCCCUACAGGGAGCACUUGUAGUUAUCGUGUUUUAGGAGUGAUUUGCUGUUGUCUGUGGUCUCUCGCUCCUCUUCUUGUGGAGAGAAGCCAAAAAAUAUAUAUGUUCCGUGGUCAGAGUCUUCUUUCUGAUAAGCUACCCGAGCAUUGGUCUAAAACAUCUGUUUUAUCUGUUGAUUUUGGUUUGUUGUUUUGGGGAGUGUUGCUUUUCUGAGGGAAGCAAAAGAACGUGUGUGUGGUGGGGCUGGAAGCUCAGGGCAAGAGUCUGCGUGUGCGGCCGGAAGGCUGGCGAGUCUGAGAGCCGCGCGGUGCAGAAAGAAGGCGGCGGCUUGUCCUCCCCCGGGGCCGGCACUGGUCCCUUGGCACCCCGGCCUGGGCUCGGCUACUGCCGCCGCCGCCCGCGCUCUCGGGCUCCGCCGGCUGCCGCUCCGUGUUUUCCCCCAUCCCGGCUUCACGUUCAAGGUUUAGCUGCGAGGUCACGUCCAUUGACGUCAGCUCCCUGUCUCCCUCUACGUCCGGCUACAUUUACAUACAUCAAGGAAAUUAGGGCAUUAAAAAAAUAUGCAAAUCCUGCGCGAAGAGGAGCGGGUGCAUUCCUGGCGCGAUCGCCUUUUAUUGAAGCUUUUAAUUAAAGGGGCCAGUUGGCGAGCCCCUGAAACAACCGCCAAAACCCCCCAAAAGAGAAAAAUAAACGCUGUAGCCUUCGAGAACGGUUGUUUCGGCUCCUGUUCUGUGGGCGGCUGAGGACCGCCGGCUGCCCGGCUCGGAGAAGAACAGUGCGGCUUGGAGAAGUCUUGGGAAUCAAACGGCAUGAACUUAGAUUCCUGUUACACAACUUUUCAAUGAGGGAGGAGGAUAUCGAAUACCUCACUCAGUCUUCGGGAAUGGAGCCUUCAAAAACACUUUUGUGAGGCCGGGCGCGGUGGCUCACGCAUGUAAUCCCAGCACUUUGGAAGGCCAAGGCGGGCGGAUCACGAGGUCAGGAGUUCAAGCCUUGCCAACAUGGUGAAACCCCGUCUCUACUAAAAAUACACAAAUUAGCUGGGCAUGGUGGCGCGCGCCUGUAAUCUCAGCUACUCGGGAGGCUGAGGCAGGAGAAUCGCUUGAACCGGGACCCGGGAAGCAAAGGUUGCAGUGAGCGGAGAUCGCGCCACUGCACUCCAGCCUGAGCUACAGAGCGAGACUCCGUCUCAAAAAAAAAAAAAAAAAAGAAAGAAAAAGAAAAAAGAAAAAAAAAAAAGAAAGAAAGAAAAGAAAGAAAAAACCCUUGUGAGCCGCCUAAAAACCGUCCUGUGAGCAUCUCAUCCCCACACUGGCGCUGCCACCCGCACGGACCUUCCAACUUCGCACUGUUCCAUUUUCUCUAUGUGCUUUUCAGCCCAUCCUUGGAGUUGCUCUGUAAGAAGGACUUUCGGAGUGAAACUCCACAGUGCGGUUCAAAGACACGCUUAGGAUGCCCCGGGAUGGAGAGAGGACUGAGCUUGGACUGGAAUUCCUGGAACAGACGAGGGCUUGUGAGCUUGUCCCAGGCACUGAGGACAGCAUACUCUUCCCGACAAGGGCAUCUGGGUCGAGAGAAGGUGGAGCGGGUCUUCGGCAAAGGCGAAACCCUGGAGAACGCUGCCCCACCCCACCCUGUAAGCGUGGACGAGUAAUAAUCUCCCGGCCUCAGUUUCCACCCUCUGCUUAUAUCAAUUUUAAGAAGCUUUAUUUUUUCUAAGAUGAUUUUCCCUACAUAUUUCUUGUCUCCCUCACUGCCAUUCCCGCCCCUCCCCCCCAAAAUACAUUGUAAAUCUUUUUCCUCCUACGGUUAAUUUUAAAGAACCACAAAAGUUUGCAUAAGACAGAAUUUACCUGCCCAUAUAUUUCUGUUGAAGGUGGAAAAUUGUUUUUACGUGGCAAGUUUUAUUUCUAUUGAUUUCUAAAAAUUUUAUCUGGAAAGAAUUUGGCUCAUGAGCUAAAUAAUAUAGUUACCAUUUGCUUAAUAAUUUUUAAGCUCUAGGCAUUGAGGUAAAUGCUUUAUAUAUUUUUUCUUAGUCUGAGAACAACCAUGUAAAAUAGGGUUUUUCCUUCUGUUUUUCUUCCUCCCUCUCUUCUUUCCAAUUUGAAAACUGAGGCAGAGACAUUAAAUGGCUUUCACAAAGGUAUAGAGCUAGUAAGUAGCAGAGGCAGAGUCUGAACACAACUACCAACCGCUAAGUGGAAGCUCUUAGCAGAGGUCAGCCGAGUUUUCAAGUGAGGCUAUAACUGCUGAAGAGUAGCCCUUCAACCUAUGGUACUUGGUUGCCCAUUAUAAAGGAAAGCUGUGUAGUAAUUUGACUUUUUAUACCUUAAGAAAUAAUCACGGCAAAAAAAAACCCUAAAAAUAAUCUUUAGCUGUUAAGCAAUCAUCAUAUUGCUAGUUGUAGUGCUGUUAUUCAUAUUUUGCAACUGUUUAUAUAUUAUGAGAUAAAGCAAGUAAGUCAUUAUAUUGGUGUCUUACAGAACUGAAAUUUUUCAUUAUAAGUAAAAAGGAGAUACAGGUGGAAGAUUAUUGAAAUCAAAUAAAAAUCUUAUAGCCCUGGAAAGAAAAAAAAAGGAAAGCUAUGGUUAAGAAGCAAGAGUAGAAGCUGUGAGUAGUUACUACCAGUACAGAAAGCUUGAAACAGACUUGUAUUCCCACCCCAAUCAAUGCUUCUCACAGGAGCACAUUGAAUCCUCUGUUAUGUUAAUUCUGGCAAUCUCUAUGUCUUCUGGGUCCUACCAUCAAACCUCUGAAAGCAAUUCAAAUAUUUUGCCACUCCCUUUGACCAUUUAUUUUUUAAAUCUGAGAUUAGAAUUGUGGAACACAUAGUGGAUUGAUAUAAAGAGGAAAAUCAAGCACCAGGAAUAAAGAUUAUAAAAGAGUUAGCUCCUUGAAGGUUGUUGGUAAUAGACCAAUCAUGCCAACAUAAAAAAAUUAAAUACUACUUUAAUGAAAUUUCAUACUUUUAAUAAAUUACUUUCAUCUUGUUAGUUCUGAUCUAGAAUAUCUUUGUAUUUAACAUAAAUGAGAUAAAAUUAUAAAGAGAUUCAUCCUCUAUUUUCCAUUAUAACAUGCAUAAAGUAAGAUUUCAAAAAUUUAAAUAAAUGUGUCAGAAUAUUCAUGGAAAGUAUUCAGCUGUGAGAUUAUGUACUUAUUUGAAUAAAGUGUCUUUUUACAAUAUAUUUGGAUUCUUCUAUUUCUCCACUUCCUCCUUUUUUCCUCCUCUCUCAUCCUCAUUUUUCUCCUCCUCAUCCAUUUUCCCUUUCUCUUCCUCCCAUUCAUUUUGUCAUUGGAAUCUAUUUCUGAGACACAUGAGAAAAUGAACCUCAUUAGUUUAUUUUUUCCUUAAAAUGGUAUUUUUGAAAAAAAAAAGCAGAAGAUGUCACCUUCAACUGAGGAUGAUAUGCCAAUUUGAAUAGCAUAUCCUCUGACUGUUGCAGACAUUCAGAACUAUGUGUGCCAUCCCAAAGAAGGUCUUCAAUGGCAGCUAUUUUUUAAAAUGUUG
rnacentral:lncRNA from 1 species